GACGAACGCUGGCGGCGUGCUUAACACAUGCGAGUCGAACGGAAAGGCCCCUUUGGGGGUACUCGAGUGGCGAACGGGUGAGUAACACGUGAGUAACCUGCCCUUGACUUCGGGAUAACUUCAGGAAACUGGGGCUAAUACCGGAUAGGAAUCCUUGCUGCAUGGUGGGGGUUGGAAAGCUUCGGCGGUUUUGGAUGGACUCGCGGCUUAUCAGCUUGUUGGUGGGGUUGUGGCUUACCAAGGCUUUGACGGGUAGCCGGCCUGAGAGGGCGACCGGCCACAUUGGGAAUGAGAGACGGCCCAGACGCCAACGGGAGGCAGCAGAGGGGAAUAGUGCACAAUGGGCGGAAGCCUGAUGGAGCAACGACGCGUGCGGGAUGACGGCCUUCGGGUUGUAAACCGCAUUCAGCAGGGGAGAAGCUUGUGGUGACGGUACCUGCAGAAGAAGCACCGGCUAACUACGUG
rnacentral:rRNA from 1 species